AAACGACUCUCGGCAACGGAUAUCUCGGCUCACGCAUCGAUGAAGAACGUAGCAAAAUGCGAUACUUGGUGUGAAUUGCAGAAUCCCGUGAACCAUCGAGUUUUUGAACGCAAGUUGCGCCCAAAGCCAUCCGGCUGAGGGCACGUCUGCCUGGGCGUCACG
rnacentral:rRNA from 3 species